rnacentral:lncRNA from 1 species
UAUUUCCACACCCUGUAAGACACCUCGUAUAGGGUUUUUGUCUCCAACCAGCCACUGAACCUCGUACAAGGUCAAAUCAAUCACAUCAGACAGGGCGUCUAGGCCUAUACGAGGGAGCAAUACAAUAGAGCAAGGCACCUCGUCUAGGCCUAGACGAGGCGUCUUGAGGACUGAUUUGACUAUGUGUCUGGCAUGCGACAUAAAGUAAUAUGGGGCGUCUAUAUUUGAAAUAAAUAGUGACAUGCAGAGCAUUCUUCAACCAUCCAUCGUUCUGCCUUACACCGAGCUUCUUCUUUGCCUUAUUUUUUUAUCACUUGUGAGGUGCACAAAAACGUUCCGGUAA